CCGCCGAAGGUGGGACAGAUGAUUGGGGUGAAGUCGUAACAAGGUAGCCGUAUCGGAAGGUGCGGCUGGAUCACCUCCUUU
rnacentral:rRNA from 1 species